rnacentral:rRNA from 1 species
AGAGUUUGAUCCUGGCUCAGAUUGAACGCUGGCGGCAUGCCUUACACAUGCAAGUCGAACGGCAGCACGGGAGCAAUCCUGGUGGCGAGUGGCGAACGGGUGAGUAAUGUAUCGGAACGUACCUUUCAGUGGGGGAUAACGUAGCGAAAGUUACGCUAAUACCGCAUAUUCUGUGAGCAGGAAAGCAGGGGAUCGCAAGACCUUGCGCUGAUUGAGCGGCCGAUAUCAGAUUAGCUAGUUGGUGAGGUAAAGGCUCACCAAGGCGACGAUCUGUAGCGGGUCUGAGAGGAUGAUCCGCCACACUGGAACUGAGACACGGUCCAGACUCCUACGGGAGGCAGCAGUGGGGAAUUUUGGACAAUGGGGGCAACCCUGAUCCAGCCAUGCCGCGUGAGUGAAGAAGGCCUUCGGGUUAUAAAGCUCUUUCAGCCGGGAAGAAAUCACAUGGGUUAAUACCC